CAUGCAAGUCGAGGGGCAGCAUGAUUGAAGCUUGCUUCAAUUGAUGGCGACCGGCGCACGGGUGAGUAACGCGUAUCCAACCUUCCGUACACUCAGGGAUAGCCUUUCGAAAGAAAGAUUAAUACCCGAUGGCAUAGUUCUUCCGCAUGGUAGAACUAUUAAAGAAUUUCGGUCAUCGAUGGGGAUGCGUUCCAUUAGGUUGUUGGCGGGGUAACGGCCCACCAAGCCUUCGAUGGAUAGGGGUUCUGAGAGGAAGGUCCCCCACAUUGGAACUGAGACACGGUCCAAACUCCUACGGGAGGCAGCAGUGAGGAAUAUUGGUCAAUGGACGAGAGUCUGAACCAGCCAAGUAG
rnacentral:rRNA from 1 species